rnacentral:rRNA from 1 species
CCUACGGGUGGCAGCAGUGAGGAAUAUUGGUCAAUGGGCUUACGCCUGAACCAGCCAAGUCGCGUGAGGGAAGACUGCCCUAUGGGUUGUAAACCUCUUUUGUCAGGGAGCAAUUGGCGCUACGUGUAGCGUUAUCGAGAGUACCUGAAGAAAAAGCAUCGGCUAACUCCGUGCCAGCAGCCGCGGUAAUACGGAGGAUGCGAGCGUUAUCCGGAUUCACUGGGUGUAAAGGGAGCGUAGACGGCCAUGCAAGCCAGGGGUGAAAGCCCGGGGCCCAACCCCGGGACUGCCCUUGGAACUGUGCGGCUAGAGUGCGGGAGGGGCAGGCGGAAUUCCUGGUGUAGCGGUGAAAUGCGUAGAUAUCAGGAGGAACACCGGCGGCGAAGGCGGCCUGCUGGACCGCGACUGACGUUGAGGCUCGAAAGCGUGGGGAGCGAACAGGAUUAGAUACCCUUGUAGUC